rnacentral:rRNA from 1 species
UACGUAGGGUGCGAGCGUUGUCCGGAAUUAUUGGGCGUAAAGAGCUUGUAGGCGGCUUGUCGCGUCUGCUGUGAAAACCCGGGGCUUAACCCCGGGCUUGCAGUGGGUACGGGCAGGCUAGAGUGUGGUAGGGGAGACUGGAAUUCCUGGUGUAGCGGUGGAAUGCGCAGAUAUCAGGAGGAACACCGAUGGCGAAGGCAGGUCUCUGGGCCAUUACUGACGCUGAGAAG